GACGAACGCUGGCGGCGUGCUUAACACAUGCAAGUCGAACGGAAAGGCCCUACUUUUGUGGGGUGCUCGAGUGGCGAACGGGUGAGUAACACGUGAGUAACCUGCCCUUGACUUUGGGAUAACUUCAGGAAACUGGGGCUAAUACCGGAUAGGAGCUCCUGCUGCAUGGUGGGGGUUGGAAAGUUUCGGCGGUUGGGGAUGGACUCGCGGCUGAUCAGCUUGUUGGUGGGGUAGUGGCUUACCAAGGCUUUGACGGGUAGCCGGCCUGAGAGGGUGACCGGCCACAUUGGGACUGAGAUACGGCCCAGACUCCUACGGGAGGCAGCAGUGGGGAAUAUUGCACAAUGGGCGGAAGCCUGAUGCAGAAACGCCGCGUGCGGGAUGACGGCCUUCGGGUUGUAAACCGCUUUCGCCUGUGACGAAGCGUGAGUGACGGUAAUGGGUAAAGAAGCACCGGCUAACUACGUG
rnacentral:rRNA from 1 species